AUUGAACGCUGGCGGCAGGCCUAACACAUGCAAGUCGAGCGAGCGGCGGACGGGUGAGUAAUGCCUAGGAAUCUGCCUGGUAGUGGGGGAUAACCAAUCGAAAGAUUGGCUAAUACCGCAUAUUAUUCGAGCGGCCGAUAACUGAUUAGCUGGUUGGUGGGGUAAAGGCCUACCAAGGCGACGAUCAGUAGCGGGUCUGAGAGGACGAUCCGCCACACUUGGACUGAGACACGGCCCAGACUCCUACGGGAGGCAGCAGUGGGGAAUUUUGGACAAUGGGGGCAACCCUGAUCCAGCCAUGCCGCGUGUAUGAAGAAGGCCUUCGGGUUGUAAAAAUCUUUUCUAUGGGAAGCAGUACCAUAGGAAUAAGGACCGGCUAAUUACGUGCCAGCAGCCGCGGUAAUAC
rnacentral:rRNA from 1 species